rnacentral:rRNA from 1 species
AUUGAACGCUGGCGGCAGGCCUAACACAUGCAAGUCGAACGAGUGGCGGACGGGUGAGUUAUGUCUGGGAAACUGCCUGAUGGAGGGGGAUAAUUACUGGAAAGGGUAUAUAAUCCCGCAUACCAUCAGAUGUGCCCAGAUGGGAUUAGCUUGUUGGUGGGGUAACGGCUCACCAAUGCGACGCUCCCUAGCUGGUCUGAGAGGAUGACCAGCCACAAGUGAACUGAGACACGGUCCAGACUCCUACGGGAGGCAGCAGUGGGGAAUAUUGCACAAUGGGCGCAAGCCUGAUGCAGCCAUGCCGCGUGUAUGAAGAAGGCCUUCGGGUUGUAAAGUACUUUCAGCGGGGAGGCGUUACCCGCAGAAGAAGCACCGGCUAACUCCGUGCCAGCAGCCGCGGUAAUUC